rnacentral:rRNA from 1 species
ACGCUGGCGGCAGGCCUAACACAUGCAAGUCGAGCGGUAGAGAGAAGCUUGCUUCUCUUGAGAGCGGCGGACGGGUGAGUAAUGCCUAGGAAUCUGCCUGGUAGUGGGGGAUAACGUUCGGAAACGGACGCUAAUACCGCAUACGUCCUACGGGAGAAAGCAGGGGACCUUCGGGCCUUGCGCUAUCAGAUGAGCCUAGGUCGGAUUAGCUAGUUGGUGAGGUAAUGGCUCACCAAGGCGACGAUCCGUAACUGGUCUGAGAGGAUGAUCAGUCACACUGGAACUGAGACACGGUCCAGACUCCUACGGGAGGCAGCAGUGGGGAAUAUUGGACAAUGGGCGAAAGCCUGAUCCAGCCAUGCCGCGUGUGUGAAGAAGGUCUUCGGAUUGUAAAGCACUUUAAGUUGGGAGGAAGGGUUGUAGAUUAAUACUCUGCAAUUUUGACGUUACCGACAGAAUAAGCACCGGCUAACUCUGUGCCAGCAGCCGCGGUAAUACAGAGGGUGCAAGCGUUAAUCGGAAUUACUGGGCGUAAAGCGCGCGUAAGUGUGUUUGGUAAGUUGGAAGUG